CUCACAGUUUUUAUUUCUGCAUCAUAUGUUUCUACUAUUCGGUUGACUUUAUCUUGUCUUUCAUCCUGGAGCUUUCCCGUAAACCUGACUAGUCUCUUGGUCACUGCUGCUAGAAAAUCGACCUCCCAGCAUGAUGCUGCCACCAACAUGCUUUAUCGUUGGAAUAGCAUUGCACAGUGAGAAGAAACCUCUGUCUGGCUACUCUGCCAUAAAGCCCGUAUUUGUGGAUUGUUUGCAGUGAUGAUUGUCCUUCUGGAAGUUUUUCAAAUCUCCCUGCAGAUGUUCUGGAGCUCAACCUCAGAGUGCUUGGUAACAUCUCUUACUA